CUACGUGCCAGCAGCCGCGGUAAUACGGAAGGUCUAGGCGUUAUCCGGAUUUAUUGGGUUUAAAGGGAGCGUAGGCCGGAGAUUAAGUGUGUUGUGAAAUGUAGACGCUCAACGUCUGACUUGCAGCGCAUACUGGUUUCCUUGAGUACGCACAACGUUGGCGGAAUUCGUCGUGUAGCGGUGAAAUGCUUAGAUAUGACGAAGAACUCCGAUUGCGAAGGCAGCUGACGGGAGCGCAACUGACGCUUAAGCUCGAAGGUGCGGGUAUCGAACAGGAUUAGAUACCCUGGUAGUCCGCACAGUAAACGAUGGAUGCCCGCUGUUGGUACCUGGUAUCAGCGGCUAAGCGAAAGCAUUAAGCAUCCCACCUGGGGAGUACGCCGGCAACGGUGAAACUCAAAGGAAUUGACGGGGGCCCGCACAAGCGGAGGAACAUGUGGUUUAAUUCGACGCAACGCGAGGAACCUUACCAGCGUUUGACAUC
rnacentral:rRNA from 1 species